GAUGAACGCUAGCGGCAGGCCUAAUACAUGCAAGUCGAACGGAUAUAUGUUUUUCGGAAUAUAUAUUAGUGGCGCACGGGUGAGUAACACGUACAUAACUUGCCCUCAAGCGGGGGAUAGCCUUGGGAAACUGAGAGUAAUACCCCAUAGAAUUAUUGGACGGCAUCGUUUGAUAAUUAAAACUACGGUGUUUGGGGAUAGAUGUGCGUCUGAUUAGCUAGUUGGUGAGGUAACUGCUCACCAAGGCGACGAUCAGUAGGGGGCGUGAGAGCGUGGCCCCCCACACGGGUACUGAGACACGGACCCGACUCCUACGGGAGGCAGCAGUAAGGAAUAUUGGUCAAUGCCCGGAAGGGUGAACCAGCCAUCCCGCGUGAAGGAUGAAGGGGCUCUGCCUUGUAAACUUCUUUUGUAUGGGGCGAAAAAAGGGAUUUAUCCUCGACUGACGGUACCAUAAGAAUAAGCACCGGCUAACUCCGUGCCAGCAGCCGCGGUAAAGUAGUCGUG
rnacentral:rRNA from 1 species